AACAUGCGGAUGAUGGUGACGGUGAUCCUGGAUAUGACGGAGACAACAGAACACAGACAGGUGCAUGUGUGAAAACUGUACAAUUAUGAAAGCAAUUGAAGAGUGCCAUUGCUGCCAAGAAAAGGAUGUCAUGGAGGAACUCAAAGAAUAUGAGGGACAUGGUGCAAACAUAACCUGCAUAACAGAUCACCCAGGAUUCCAAUCUAAUUGUCUGGAUGUUUGGGUGUUGCAGACAGCCUACCGUAAUUAUUUGAAGAGGGGCAGACAACAAGCAGAAUGUAUCGCUGUGUGGCAUACCGCCAGCUGGUGAGAUAUUGCUGGGGAAUACUUGGUA